rnacentral:snoRNA from 1 species
GCAGACUCACUCUGCACCCAGCCGCAGCCCCAGGCGGGUGCUUUUUCCGUCUGCCACAGGAACUGGCGGGGGGCUGUGACUUGCCCUGUUAAGGGCAGCACAGCUACCCCGGUACACGGGU